GAAAACAUUCGCAUGGAAAUCAGAGGGAAGAAUAAGGCGUCCCAGGUGGAGGAGGGAGGACCAGCGGGUUCCUGGCAGAGAGAAGAGUGUCUGCAAACCCCUGAGGCAAGAGGAGCCUGUGUCUUUGAAGGUCUGAACAAAGGCUCAUUCCACAGAGUCAGGAAAGCAAAGGGGGCAGUAUUUGGGGAAGACGCCCAGGAGGAAGCCGGGGGUGGGGAGGGGUUGGGGGGCCCAAUUGGCCAGGCCCUUCUUGAUGCUGAAUGGCAGGAGGACCUUGAAGAAGUGACAGGGUCAGAGGUACCAUCCAGAAAGAUCACCCUGAUCAGAGCUGGGAGAAUGGAGGUGCCGGGCAGGAGCAGAUGCCAGGGCCUGCUUGGAGGCAACUGGAAUACUCCAGGCAAGAGGAUGGAGUCUAAGGCCAGGGCAGUGGACUGACAAAAUGUUUCGCCACCUCUAAUGUGUGUCUGGCACUGUCUGGCAUUGAUGAAGGCUCAGCUUAUGCAUGUGUAACAUGAACAGGUGAGUGUCUCUUCUUCUAACUUGGCACUACUUAGUGAUAUAAUAACAGUAACAUGUUGUGGGCCAUGAUGAUUUAUCUCCCAAAGUGGAAACCACAUUGGUUGAAUGUGCAAAUAUCAGUGCUGUACUGAGUUGAAAAGACACCCCAAGCUGGGCGCGGUGGCUCAUGCCUGUAAUCCCAUGGUGAAGCCCCAUCUCUACUAAAAAUACAAAAAUUAGCCGGGUGUGGUGGUGUGCACCUGGAAUCCCAGUUACUUGGGAGACUUAGGCAGGAGAAUCGCUUGAACCCACGAGGCAGAGGUUGCAGUUAGCUGAGAUUGAGCCAUGACACUCCAGCCUGGGUGACAGAGUAAGACUGUCUCAGAGAAAAAAAAGAAAAAAGACACCCCAAAUACUCACAAGCGAAGUGAUACUGGAAAGAGUCUUCACAUUUAC
rnacentral:lncRNA from 10 species